UAGGGUCAGGUUUAGAGUUAUAAGGGUUAGGGUUUCGAAGUCGGGUUAAGUUUAGGGUGAGGUUUAGAGUUAGUUACGAUUAGGGUUAGGGUUAGAGUUAGG